rnacentral:tRNA from 1 species
GUUAAUUUGGCCGAGUGGUUAAGGCGAUGGACUAGAAAUCCACUGGGGUAUCUCGGCGCAGGUUCGGAUCCUGAAAACUAUG